AAGAAAUAUUCAUCAAUUCUGUGAGAAACACUAACUCCACUUAAAAUUGUUUUAAAUAAUGCUUUCUUAACUUUUUGUGCUUAACUGAGUUUAUAAACUAAGUUCAGUCAACAGACAUGACUGACUGAAUCCAACUGUUUUUUAAAACAAUUUAAACAAAUUUUGAUGAAAUGAGAACUGAUUACUAAUUAACGACAAAUGUUGGAAUUAAAAUUCAUUCUCUUGCACAGUACAGAUAAGGCCAAAUAAUUCAAUUGGUUUUGCUCAAGUUUAACAUGUUUUAGCUUGGUUUCAGAUAUGCUAACACACUGGAAAAGAAAAGUAACUUUUGUUCUUCUAAAUAGAGUACCCUAUGAAAAUAAACUUUCAAGCAAAAUCAAUGCUACUUAGAUGAAUACCUAUUCAAAAGGCAUUUACAAUUUCAGUAUGAAUGGUCCUCAAAGGUCGACCUUCAAAAUCCAAGCCCUGUAUCAGCCAACAAGCAAGGAAAGUAGUGGUAAAAAAUUAGUCAAGUAGAUUGUGUUUCUCCUUUCACACUCACAUCCUGAUAUUUAUUUACUACGAUUUUAUCUUACUCUAAUUUACAGAACAGAUAAAGACUCUUUACGUACCUUCCAAUUUUCCAAACUAGUAACACUUAAUACUUAAUGUUCAAAAUAAAAAUUUUAAGUAUCUUUUGUGGAGGGGAUCAUUUAAAAUCUGUUAAUCAAAUCAGUGAGUUCAAAUAAAUCAGAUUAGUAAAGGUGCUCCAAAGGUGGUAAUUCAGUGUUCACAACAGUUUUGGGAAGUGACUCCUUACACUUCAGAAAAUUUAACUUUUAAAAGUUUUCAGCUUCUGUACCUAAAUUGACUUAAUGUUAAU